AUCGGCAGCCAUAGGCCAUGCGCGCUUCACGCCGGUGUCAACCCACGCCAAGAAGCAACACCAGCAAGAUGACCAAAGGAUGUACCACUUCAAGAUGGAAAUGGCUAUGUUCAAAGAUAUUUUAGCGAUGUACAACAAGGAAGAUAUUGGGAUUCUCGUUGCAUCGAUAUAUGCGAUCUGCAAUAGCAAUGUCCAAAGCUUAACGGGCACUUUCACGUAGAGAGCCUUCCUUAUUACAGUACUUAUUCGCAAAAUUCUUGCAGCAACAUGUUCACAUCGUACAAGUGCGCAUUUAUCUCUCCAUCAGAAAUUUUGGACCGCAAGGUUGUGUACUGCCACUUGAAGAAACACCGAAGCAUGAAAGCCUCCAACCCGAUAAACAGUAAAGAAGAGUAAGGUAGCCAACAUAAGAAGGUUCAAUAUGGAGAGAAUUGAACAUGCUCUAAAGAACAGAAGAAGCCUAAAAGCAGUGAAGAGAAAAUUGGGCACAGGCAAAAAUCAUAUGUAUGCACUAAGAGAAAGGCAAGGCAGUUUCACUACCAAUAUGUAUAAGGUUGUCAAAGCAGCUAUGAUUUUCGACAGAGAUCAGCCAGGACAACAAUGGUAGUAAUAAUAGUAGUAGUCCAGACGAAUCUCACCAACAAUGGCAGGUGAAGGAACGAAAACUUCUUGUUAGAAGAAUUGGCAUCUGUUCAUCUUAAAACCGCUUCACGCACAAAAAACACACCCCUAGAGAAAAUUCUGCCAGGAGCAAAGACACAAAAGCAAGAGAAUUAAUGGAAGCUUUUUACAUAAGACAGCAAGAAAGUUUGUGUGUUAGUGAUACAUAAGUAGUUUUAUAUAAGAUUGAGAAACAGUUUAUUGAGCGUGAGUUAUUGUAUUACCCCUGAUGUUCAAAUGGAUGUUUGUUGUGCAGGCGCGAAUUGAUGGUACAUAUGUGUGUGUGGUUUCUGGGAAUUAAAGCAGCUGUGAGUGGCGCCCCGUCCAGUCAUCUUCUCUUGUGGUAAUCAAGGUCCAGAUUUCAGUCAUUAUGGAGAUCUCUCGAGUCCUGCUGUCAAAUCCCUCAAGAAAUGACCCACAUAUGACAUUUUGUUCAAGCUAAUGUUGAAACUAACUAAAUGGCAGAUACAAGAAUGAAGCAUCAAGUUGGCGAUUGCAAGUACGCAGCAUAUUGUUUAACUGCAUACACAAUAAACUGUCAGUGCGUGGAUGUUGUCAAGGCUUUUCAAAGAUAAUUUAAACUUUAGGCAAAUUGACAUCUAUGGUGACUUGUGUGUGCUGUCGGGAAGAGCCUUUUUUUUUUCUUAUAAUUAUUAUUAAUCAGGUGGUGUCGUAUCUACAGUUAUCAGUCUCGUCAGUGAGCAAUUUCCAGCUGCUUCUUUUUCAUAAUUCAAAACAUUCUUUGGAUGGCACUAAAACAAACAAGAGCCUUCUUUUUUAAAAUGAUUCCUAUUGCUCCCUUUCCAUUAUAUCUACAGGAGGCCUGCACUGAGCUCACUGCACUAAGCACACUGAGCCUGCACCGAGCGC